CCCGAGGAGGGGCCUGCAGCCGCCAAGACCGAACCUAGCAGCAGUACCACCAUGUAUAUUACAAGCACCGACGCCUCCGUUAGUGCCUGACGACCUCGGUGAUGAGGAGCCAGCGCAGGUUUGUCUGGGGAAAUACCCAACCCACCUGUACUGUGGGAGAACAUUUGCAUUUUUAGCGCGUGGUUCAAAGGCAGAGGGUGACUGGAAUAUUCCUGCAAGGCAGAUGCAGUUUGAUGAGUUAUGUAAGAAAUACAAGCACACGGACACCCCCGCUCCAAGCAAACGGCAAAGAGUAGUGAGUAGUAAUCUGAAAGAAUAUGUGGUGGAAACAACAAUGGGCCAGCAAGAAGAGGAUAAUGAGAGGGAGUGCAAAAUGCUGUUUUUUUAGCACUCUGGAUGCUGUACUGGGAGAAAUGUCAGCGAGAUUUAACGAACGAAACAGCCAACUUGUUGAGGCCCUGUGUGCCUUGCACCCAGAGAAUGAAACCUUCAUGGAUGUGGAAAAAGUGAAACCCGUGCCUCUAACAGCAAUGUCUACUGUGAUGAUGGCAUUGAAACUGGGAUUAUCAUUUGGAGCAUCCACGGCAAUUUGCGAGAACUCUUUUUCAACAUUGAAAAACGUGUUCAGUGAGCACAGACGGAGCAUGUUGCACAGGAGGAAAGCGCAACUGAUUAAACUGGCAUUUGAGAGGGAUCUUACAAGCAAAUUCCGUGGGGAGUGGAACGAGAGACUGCUGAGGAGGUUCAACACAGCAUCAAGGCGGCUACAACUCUUUUGAAUCUGGGAUACAAGGAUGGAAGACAUGUCAGAAACUCAACUCAAUCAAGGCCAGCUGUCACCCAGCAAAUACAAACUGGAAUAAAGCUGGGGUCCUACCUGGUGUCAAACAGUAAGCCCUCAUGGAUGGUAGGGCUUUCUGCUUCAGAUUAAGGAAGAGCAGCUCUGAGAUCUGAGAUCCCCAAACAAGAGAUGACUAUCUGGCUGUAAAUACUUAUUUGGAGCUCUAUACUGCCUUUCCCAAAAGUUAUUUUGUUGCAUCUGAAAUUGUUAUUUUGGGCAAUAAAUCUUGAUUACUUUGA